rnacentral:misc_RNA from 1 species
GGGGUGGAAACUUCAUUAGAGAGUAUGUCUUGGCAUACUGGAGUGUCCAAAUGCACGUUCGAUACAGAGGAAGUCAGAUGACUUAUAACUCCAAUAGCAUUGUCAACUGCUGCUGAGGUUUCAACUUCAGACAGUAGAAACUUAACAGCCUUGUUAGGACUUUGUUUCUUGUCAUCUAUUGAAUGUUCAGCAGAAAUCAUAGGUGUAUCUAUCUUCUUCUCGAUUAAUG